AAAUCUGGCUCUUUUAGGGUCCGAGUUGUAAUUUGCAGAGGGCGCUUUGGCGUUGGCAGCGGUCCAAGUUCCUUGGAACAGGACGUCACAGAGGGUGAGAAUCCCGUACGUGGUCGCUGGCCUUCGCCGUGUAAAGCCUCUUCGACGAGUCGAGUUGUUUGGGAAUGCAGCUCUAAAUGGGAGGUAAAUUUCUUCUAAAGCUAAAUACUGGCCAGAGACCGAUAGCGCACAAGUAGAGUGAUCGAAAGAUGAAAAGCACUUUGGAAAGAGAGUCAAAUAGCACGUGAAAUUGUUAAAAGGGAAGCGCUUGCAGCCAGACUUGCCUGUAGUUGCUCAUCCAGGCUCUUGCCUGGUGCACUCUUCUAUGGGCAGGCCAGCAUCAGUUUGGGCGGUUGGAUAAAGGUCUCUGUCAUGUACCUCCUUUCGGGGAGGCCUUAUAGGGGAGACGACAUGCAACCAGCCUGGACUGAGGUCCGCGCAUUCGCUAGGAUGCUGGCGUAAUGGCUGUAAGCGGCCCGUCUUGAAACACGGACCAAGGAGUCUAACAUCUAUGCGAGUGUUUGGGUGUCAAGCCCGAACGCGCAAUGAAAGUGAACGGAGGUGGGAACCCUUAAGGGUGCACCAUCGACCGAUCCUGAUGUCUUCGGAAGGAUUUGAGUAAGAGCAUAGCUGUUGGGACCCGAAAGAUGGUGAACUAUGCUUGAAUAGGGUGAAGCCAGAGGAAACUCUGGUGGAGGCUCGCAGCGGUUCUGACGUGCAAAUCGAUCGUCAAAUUUGGGCAUAGGGGCGAAAGACUAAUCGAACUAUCUAGUAGCUGGG
rnacentral:rRNA from 1 species